rnacentral:rRNA from 1 species
AGUCGAGCGGACUCUUCGGAGGUUAGCGGCGGACGGGUGAGUAACACGUGGGUAACCUGCCUGUAAGACUGGGAUAACUUCGGGAAACCGAAGCUAAUACCGGAUAAGUUUUUGGAACCGCAUGGUUCAAAGAUGGGAAAGAUGGGUUUCGGCUAUCACUUACAGAUGGACCCGCGUCGCAUUAGCUAGUUGGUGAGGUAACGGCUCACCAAGGCGACGAUGCGUAGCCGACCUGAGAGGGUGAUCGGCCACACUGGGACUGAGACACGGSCCAGACUCCUACGGGAGGCAGCAGUAGGGAAUCUUCGGCAAUKG